GACGCGAUGGCCGAAUGGUUAGCGCGCUGGACUCCGCACCGAGCGGUCUGGGUUCGAGCCCUGGCCUGGGGGACUGCGUUG